GUAACUUUGAACUACAUGGGAGCUUCCAGCAAAAGCAGUUUGAAACCUUGGGCUGUCUCUUAAACUUUCUUCAACAUCCAUUCCACGUUCAGCAGGCUCCAAAGUCGCUCUCAUGAAGUACAGGAAACAAGGCAGGGGACACACUGGAUG